CAACAGCAGAACAGUUGUAAUUGGAUCUAUAUUGGCCAGAAUUUGUUUAAUUUGAUUAUGUAGCAGGCUGUUACAAAAAAUAGCUAUAACUUAAUACGCCAGCAUUUAAUUAGGUCAAUGGGUUAAUAAAUAGCAGCUUUUACCAACCUACUGCCGCACACUCCUGUCCAGCAGGUGGCGAUAGCACGCGCACCUGUUGACCAGAGGUAAAGACCCUGAAUCCCACUGAGCGGCACCUGUGGCAGGAGGACUGAGCAUUCGCAGUGGAAGUUCAAGAAGCAGUCUAAAAUGUUUUAUUCUCUUGCUAUGAACAAACCUAAGUUUAUAUGACACUGGACAAUAAUGGGGCUGUUAGUUAGAAAGUGUAUAGUUCUAGUUUCGUCGUGUGAACAUUCAAAGAACGUUAGUUGACGUUUCCUGCUAGCUUUGUGGCUAAUGCUAGCUAGCUAGCUUGCAACUACUCAACAUGGCUAAUUAGCCUACAUUAAUUAAGAUGCACCAAACUACUUUGUAUGACUUUUUGUCUUUUGGCUGACAAGAGGAGGAUGAGCAAGAGCAGGAUGGAGUCAUCAGAAGGAGAAAUAACAGGUAAGGCAGUAGUCAAGUAAUCUGGACUCAUUAUAAAGCAUAUCAUUAUUUUGCACUGCACACUGGUUAAAAUGUGGCUUUUUGAGUUUUUUUAGGUAGUUGUUUUAAAUCCAUUACAUUUAUAACCUAAUUGCUUUACGGCUUGAUAUUAUAGUCCGUUUUCUUUGUUUUAUAAGUAACAUACCACUAAAAUCAGGGAUUAGGCUGGGAUUUCCAGAUAUCCUGGUUGAAUUUAACCUCCACUUGGUUGCCAAAUGUGGGAUCAGUUAAACUCAAUCUAGUCACCCUGGUGAUUUAUUCUAUGUUGCCUAGUUUAUUCACUUAUCCUGUCUUAAUUUAACCUGGGUUUAGUAGCACAAAGUCAGAUUAAUGUAGGUGAAUUAAGUUACCAUGGAGAUUAUAGUCAGCAGUUCGCCUUCACUGAAGCAGACUAACUGCUGGUCUGAUUCAGUGGCAUUGUCUUUAUUGGCAGAUUGAUUGAUUGUUUACACAUGCUGUAUUAGUCAGACACUCUCUAUUCCUGUCCUCAUUAUGUGCUCAUUUAGAGCUAUUGUCUGCUAGUUUCUUUGUAAUUCUAGUGGCCAUACAUUUGUUUCCCUUUAUAUAAGUCGUGUAACACCUCUUCAUAUAUUUCUA
rnacentral:lncRNA from 1 species